UUCCUCAGCAAGCACUUUUAUUCAUAUAACUUUUUCUCGUAUUUUCCCAUGUAGAUAGUGAUCCCAUGGAUAUUUUAGACAUAGAUUGUUUCUGGUUCAUAGGCCCUUUUAACAUCACGGAAAACCAUCAAACAAAAUAACAUUACCGCCAGUGCUUUCUGCUUUCGUAUAUUGCAGCAUACUACGGCACUGUUAAACAAUUCUACUCAUAAAUUAUGUAUAAAUGCAGGACAUUUGAUUUAGUUUAACCUGUAAGCACAGUAUUAAUCUAACUGAUAUAAUCCAGAUUCUAGGUAUAUAUAGGUUAUAUAUGAUAAUUCGCUACUAAUUUAAAGAACAGAGUUUUGUAUUUAUUACUUUUAAUAAAACGAUAAUUUUAUUUAUAUUCCUCAUCACACAUUAUUAGGACUUGCGAUACCAUGCAGGAAUGUAGCCAUGCAUUAUAACUUUUCUAAUUAUUUAUUUAUCACGGGUUUCAUUUAUAAAAAGAACAUUAUUUUGUUCCAUAUAGUGUACAUGGUAGAAUAAAAUAAUCUUAUCAGUGAAAUUAUUUAAAAGGCGAUUAUUUUAUGUUAAUGAAACCAUACAAAUUUUAGAUUACCUCAUGGUUUAUCCAGCUCAAUUAAUUUAAUAUUUGCAUUCAUUGUAUUUAAAAAUGUAAUUCUUAGUUUAUCAUUUGUAAGUUGAAGAUUUUUGAUCGUAACGGCAUGUUCAAAAAUUGCACGAACAUGUCACAAAUGAACUGGAGGGAAACAGCGUGAAAAAUAAAAGAGCAAGCUGAGACAAUAAUUAAUUAUAAAAUGUUACACAUUAAACAUGACUAUGAGUAUUAAUCCUCCUAGAUUGACAACUGCGGAAAAUUUAAUUAAAAAACUUCGAAGGCACUCUUGACUAAAUUGAUCUGCAACAUUAUUUUUGUAUUGUAUCUGAACAAAUGUCUUCACUUUGCCGGUUUAUAUCGGUUUUGGGUGAAUUUACUUCGUUUUUAAAUUUGAUAGUCAUAGCUAUUUAAGAUUUUCUCCCCAAUGGAACAAUAUAAAAUUUUAUCGUUCUAAAAAGUUAUUUAUAUUUCAAUGUUUUAUUUUUCACUUUAUGAAGUGUAUUAAAGUACUGUGUAUAUUAAAUAAAAGUAAAUUAACCGAACCAAAUACCUGAAAAUUACAAAAAUUGAAUACCAUUAAAGGUAAUAUUGGUAAAAUUCUUUUAAGGUACUCGUAUUUAGUCUUGUUUCUGUAACUACGACACAAACUACAAGGGAGCUGUACCGAUUAUUUAUUUUUAAUCUCCAUUCAUAUACAAUGAAAAUAAAACAUCUUAAUACCAAAAUAUUAUUUUAUUAAUAAUAAAUUUAUUCGUAUUUACCAAUAACACAGCUUAAUUUAAAACAUGGAAUAAUAUAUUAGAAUGUGUGUAAAUAUAUUAAUCUAUAGAAUGUGUGUAAACUGUUUGUGAACGAAUUACAUUUAUUGCUCUUUAUAACAUUCGCAGUAUUUUAGAACAAACUACAUAUUAUAUUAUAUGAUAUUAAAAUUAUUGGAAUUCAUAUCUCUCGACAUAUCAGUACAAUGUUUAUAUUUGGAAAGCCUUUUAAGUAAGUAAGUCAUGGAACAUCAAUGAAUUUAGAAUCAGUUUUUGGUAUGAACAUUAGCUUAAUCAUGAUAUAACUAGAGGAUAGAGAUUUAUUUGUAAAGCCACCAUACACUUAUAAUAUUAUGAAACAGUUGUUUUUAUGGUACAAAGUAUUUUUUUUUUUUUUUCAGACGUUGAGGGGCUAGAUAAAUGUGAAGCAGCUGUUAAACAUCUUUCAUGCGCCAAAAUCAAAUCUGCACAGCAAAACAUCAGUAUAAAAGAUUAGACACCGGCACGUGACACUCCACUGUCAGUAGCAGGGUUAGAAUACUCUUCUCGGAAGAACGUCUUUAUAGUCAUAAUUUAUGUAUUAGUUGUUGAGUAUUUUGUUGAUAAAACAAAACAAACUUAUUGUUUCA